CUCAGCACUGACUGGAUGGGGUUAACAGUGACCACUAAUGAAGGAGCUCUGCUACCUGUCUGAGCAGUGCUCCAGUCUUUGUUGCUGCGUUAUGAAUGCACUGCUCCUCCUGCCACAUUUCUUCACGCCCUCGGUUGUUAUCUGAGCAGUGGUAGCCCCCACGAGCGAUGCAGUCAGUGCCUGCUUGCUCCAGGUGCUCCAUAAGCACAGCAGAAGGAUGCCAGGGGGCUUGCAGGCAGUGUGUGCAUGCUGUUGCUCUCUCCAAGAAGCCCCUGUUUUGGCUAGCUGCAGAAGAAACCAUUUUUUCCUUGGUCAGAUCCUUGCAAACGCAGUGCAAGUGUACAGAACGGUACGGUGUCUAGCUGUCUUUUCGCAGUACGUGCAAUGAGGUUAUCUAUUUUUCAGGCAGAGAAGUGCGUCCAGGCAGUUUGGAGAACUGCUGGCUCAGGCUUCACCUCCACUAAUCCAAGUUCAGUCACUUUCCUCUGAAGAACCUGCAUCAAGCCGUGGUUUUAAGCUGCAGAUGGAGUUCUUCUCGCAGGACUGAAGUGCUGAAGCUCUCUGAGCUCCGAAGGCACCCUGAACUCAUGAGGCUUUUUCUUGGUUGGCAACGUGCUUAAAAAAGAAAGAAAUGCAAAUGGGCAUUUCCACGUGACUGUAUUCUGCUCAGUGCAGUGUCUGCCUGUGUUGCAGACUGAGCUCCGUGGCAUUGCAAAGAAUGCACCAAAGUAAGUAGUGCAGGAGAGCAUUUUUUCCAGUUAGAAUGUUGGCCUUCCAAAGCAGGCCUGCCUUGGUUGCACUGGCUUGCAUCUCAGCUGGUGUUCUGUUGUCAGGGUUCCCGUAUUUCUAGCGGUUGUCAGGGCGGUGGCUCAUGACAUCGUAAGGCCGUGGCGAUGUGACGGUAAGAAUGUCCCAUGUCAAGUACAAGAUGGCUGUGUGGGACGAGGGGAAGCCAUGGCCUGACAGCUGCCCUUCUGGUCAGCAGUGGAAUUCUGCGGGGUCCAUUAGAAGGCCAUUUCUCUGUAAUGCUUUCUCUGUUGGUUCCAGUCAAGAUGUGGCCGUUGUAUGAAGUAAGUUUGUGGUUGCUGUGAAGCUGGGAGGAAUGUUGACUGCCUUGGGGGUUGAGAGGCCUUGCAGCAAGAUGUGGAGAAAUGUGAGGGUGGUCCCCAUCUGCACGAAGAAGAGCAAGCGCUGCGUUCUGCACCUGGGAUGCGGCAGCCCUGGCUAUAAGCCCUCAGCAAACAGUCGUCCUGUUCCACUUUUGGCCAGUCUCAGAUGCUUGUCUUCCAGAAUGUCUGCGUGUGGAUGAAUCACAACAGGAUCCUGGGAACUUUUAAGAAAGGAAAGAUUGCUUCACGUGUAAUGAAAAGCUAGUGUCCAGAAGAUCACUGCGGCCAGAUGCCAAUUUUGAUGCCCUCGUCAGUAAGACUUGUCCAAGCCCUGAUGUAUGUGAAACUCAUCAGGAGGGAAUGCUGGCAAGAAUCAGCUAACACAGUAGCAGCAAGCUUUCAGUGACAGCGUUAAGGAAGGGUGACGAUUCAGGCUGGGAGCAGGUGUAUGGGAACUGUAUAAUCACAGCCUGACCCCUGUUUGACUACCUGAGGCGAGUGCUGAGUCAGCUGCAGGGGCACAGGUGAUGGCAGUUUGACCUGAGUGACCGUAAGGGGUGGACCCUGGCUGCAGCCCUGCUAGACCCCAUGUAAGGGCUGACUCCCAAGGAGGAAGGAUCUCUAUCUGGAGGUCACCCUUAGUGGAGCCCUUCUGCGCGCCCAGGGUACGGGUAAGCUUUUUAUGUCAUUCCUCCUUUGGAAACGCGCUCAUCUCUCUGGUCCUUUACCUAUUUGCCUUACAAUCUGUUUGCCCUGCACACAGGUAAUGUUUAACCCUCCUAAUGGGUAGCCCUUAUCUUUUUCUGUAAAUGCAACAGGGAUAGGGUUAGCCCUCAUCAAGUAAGGGCCACCCUUAGUCCUAACAGCUAAGGGUAGCCCUGAAGGAUUCCCAUUUUGGUUAUGGUUAACUCUAAUCGGAUGUGGUAACCGUUGACCUGUCACUGAAGGGAAGCCCUUCAUCCUAACCUACUAUGGUAACUCUUCAUCCUAAACGCUAGCCUCUAACAGUAACCUUUAAGCCAAUCCUUAGGGGUUUUCCUUCAGCCUUUGCACUGACUGAACUUGGUAGCAUUUCCACGUGAAGCCUUAUCUAAUGCAGUAACCCGCCAAUCUGAUGCCAAAGGGUAACGGUCCGCAGUUAGUAGUAAGACUAAAUAGUAGCACUUAACCGUAAUCCAGCAGGGGAUGAGGGCGAGCUUGUCUUCUGCCAGGGCGAGCGGCUGCGGGCAGUGCAUCUCCCAGCUGAGGUGCCUGUAAACAUCUGCCAGCUGUCCUUGUGGACGGCCCGUCAUCGUCAU